rnacentral:tRNA from 1 species
GGAGAGAUGGCAGAGUGGUCGAAUGCAUCAGUCUUGAAAACUGAAGUACUUUCACGAGUACCGAGGGUUCGAAUCCCUCUCUCUCCGCCA